rnacentral:ncRNA from 1 species
UUUACUAGGGGAGCCAAUAGUGGCUGAGAGGAAUUUUAAGUUUCGACCCUUUGAACCUGAUAUGGUUAACACCAACGUAGGGAAGUAAUUUU